CACCAAUUCCUCCAGAUUUAGCUCAGAUUGUUUCACUCAAAUUCACCUUUAGAGUAAUACCAGAUGAUAGUUCUUUCAAUAACCAAGACCAGGUCCCCAUUGCCCUUCGCAUCAUCUCUAUAACUACAGCGCAUGGUAGACAACAUGCACUACCAUUGAAGCCAACCAAUAUCAUAGAAGGUACAUCAACACCACAGAACAAGUUACAACUGCAGUUAAUCGAGAACUCACCAUCAAAUCCUUUUCAAAAUUUAUCCACAAGUACUCCACCACCCAUACAGGCUGCAAGGAAGCUAAUAUAUCCACCGCUCAGUAACCC
rnacentral:misc_RNA from 1 species